rnacentral:rRNA from 1 species
UACAGAGGUCCCAAGCGUUGUUCGGAUUCACUGGGCGUAAAGGGUGCGUAGGUGGUGGGGUAAGUCGGAUGUGAAAUCUCCAAGCUCAACUUGGAAACUGCAUUGGAAACUACCUUGCUAGAGGAUUUGAGGGGGGAUUGGAAUACUUGGUGUAGCAGUGAAAUGCGUAGAUAUCGUAAGGAAGACCAGUGGCGAAGGCGGGUCUCUGGACAGUUCCUGACGCUGAGGCACGAAGGCCAGGGGAGCAAACGGG